rnacentral:rRNA from 1 species
UGGGGAAUCUUGCGCAAUGGGCGAAAGCCUGACGCAGCGACGCCGCGUGAGUGAUGAAGGCCUUCGGGUUGUAAAGCUCUGUGGAGGGGGACGAAUAAGUCGGGGUUAACAGCUCCGAUGAUGACGGUACCCCUUUAGCAAGCACCGGCUAACUCUGUGCCAGCAGCCGCGGUAAGACAGAAGGUGCAAGCGUUGCUCGGAAUCACUGGGCGUAAAGGGUGCGUAGGCGGCUGUGUAAGUCUGGCGUGAAAGCCCAGGGCUCAGCCCUGGAAGGGCGCUAGAAACUGCGCGGCUAGAGUGCCGGAGGGGAGAGUGGAAUUCCGGGUGUAGUGGUGAAAUGCGUAGAGAUCCGGAGGAACCCCAGAGGCGAAAGCGGCGUCCUGGCUCGCAACUGACGUUCAGACACGACAGCAUGGGGAGCAAACGGGAUUAGAUACCCCAGUAGUCCCUGAGCGGGCUGGCAAGGCGCAU